GACCGCUCCGGUGGCUUAAUGGUUAGAGCGUCUUCCUCAGAUGCGGGACGUUGCGGGUUCGAUCUCCCGAUCGAGUUA